rnacentral:lncRNA from 1 species
AAAGACAACAAAUACGGUGCAGUGUAUACUGCUUGGGUGAUGGGUGCACCAGAUUCUCACAAAUCUCCACUAAAGAACUUACUCAUGUAACCAAAUACCACCUGUACCCCAAUAACUUACGGAGAAAUAAAAUUUAAAAAAAAAGAUAAACUGGGCGUGGUGGCUCACGCCUGUAAUCCCAGCACUUCAGAAGGCUGAGGCAGGCAGAUCACCUGAGGUCGGGAGUUCGAGACCUCGAGACCAGCCUGACCAACAUGGAGAAGCCCCAUCUCUACUAAAAAUACAAAAUUAGCUGGGCAUGGUGGCGCAUGCCUGUAAUCCCAGCUACUCAGGAGGCUGAGCCAGAAGAAUCACUUGAACCCGGGAGGCAGAGGUUGUGGUGAGAUUGCGCCAUUGCACUCCAACCUGGGCAACAACAGUGAAACUCCAUCUCGAAAAAAAAAGUAGUAUAAAGAAAUAAAACCCUAGAAAUAGAAGAAAAGGAUAAUUCUAUUUAAAAUUUAGGUUAGCC